CCCAUCCCACCCCAGGGCCUCUAAGCAGCUCUGGGUGUGUGCUAAGAGCAGAGUAGGUGGACUGAGUGAGGGGCGGAAAGCAGAUGGCUUCACGGGAUUCCAGGCCCCGUCCACCUGGGGCCACCUGUCCAAGGGUGGAGACACAAGGUCCUAUUACACUAAUGAGCGGGGAGCCUCCUGCCACCUUUGACCCAAUUCCUCCGUCUCUGAGGCGAAGGGAAAGAGUGUGGCUGCUUUCCAGGGCCCAAGGCUGACCGCCAUCUUUUCGCGAAUCCAGAAAGCUCCCCCUCCUGCUUUGAGCAAGAGUGUGUGUCGCAGGCGCACGGAGUUUGCUUCUGGGGUCCUUGUGCCUCCGUAGUCUCAUGUCCUCCCAUGCCUGUUUAUUUCAGUGCACCCAGUGGGUGACGCUGCCACGUCCAGGACACUGGACUGGAGCCACCUUUACAGAACCGGUUUGAAAUCAAACAGUGCCGUGGCACACAAGCCAGCUGAGCCAGAGGUGUCCAUGGCCAAGAGGGCCAAAGGCCGAAGGACCAGGGCAGACAAUGGUACAUAUGGGGGAGCUGGCCCUUGUCUACCAGGGAGCUAGAAGGUGACCAAUGGACCUGUGCCAGCCCGGGGAGCAUGUAGCUAUCGCUCCUCACCUUGGAGGUGAGGAGACUGACGAGCCCUCACGGCCAGUCAAGGGCAGGGCUCCGCAUGGGAUUCUGGACCAGCCCAUCUACUCCAGCAUCGCUGCCGAGUCCCUGACAAGCCUUUCUCCACAUCUCUGCAGUGUGAACACCCAGGCGCCUCCAUUCAGGCCUGGCUCAGUAGCCAAACGAGUCUAGUGAUGUCAUCGUUGCCAUGGAAACUCUCCCCAGGCGUCAGGCAGGACCAACCUCCCCUGUGCCGUUUCCCUUUGUGUGGACUUUGCAAUGCGUUGCCAAGGCAGUGAGGCCUGCUGGGAGGCCUGGGUUCGAUUCCCAGCACCCGAAUGGCAGCUCUGGACGUAACUAAUUCCAGGGGAUUUGACAAGCUCUUCUGAAGGUACCAGGCACGCACAUUGCUCUGAGGCAUACAAGCAGGUAAACACUCUCAGGCAGGCACGAAAUAAGUUAUUUAUUGGUGUGGGUGUGGGUCACAGCCUUCGUGGGGAAGUCGGAAGAUAACCAUGUAGCUGGUCAGCUCCUUCAUGCUUUACAUAGGUCCUGGGGACUGAAUUCACAUCGCUGAACCUGUGUAGCCAUCACUCCUAGCUACCGAGCGAGCCCUCUAGCCACCCGCAAUGGAUGGAAACAUCUUUUAACUGACAUGUACACAUCUGAGGACUAAACCAGGAUCUUUCGUGGUAAGUAGUAGUUACCU
rnacentral:sRNA from 1 species